CGCGGUGGUGGGUCUCGCAGGCCUUCAAAUCCGCGGGGCCACCGU
rnacentral:tRNA from 11 species